rnacentral:rRNA from 1 species
CACGUAGGGCGCAAGCGUUGUCCGGAAUUAUUGGGCGUAAAGAGCUCGUAGGCGGUCUGUUACGUCUGCUGUGAAAACCCGGGGCUUAACCCUGGGCUUGCAGUGGAUACGGGCAGACUAGAGGCAGGUAGGGGAGAAUGGAAUUCCCGGUGUAGCGGUGAAAUGCGCAGAUAUCGGGAGGAACACCGGUGGCGAAGGCGGUUCUCUGGGCCUGACCUGACGCUGAGGAGCGAAAGCGUGGGGAGCGAACAGGAUUGAGAUACCC